CCUACGGGAGGCAGCAGUGGGGAAUAUUGCGCAAUGGGCGAAAGCCUGACGCAGCGACGCCGCGUGUGCGAUGAAGGCCUUUGGGUCGUAAAGCACUGUCGACCGGGACGAAAACUCAUAGGCUAAUACCUUAUGAGCUUGACGGUACUGGUAAAGGAAGCACCGACUAACUCUGUGCCAGCAGCCGCGGUAAU
rnacentral:rRNA from 1 species